CUCCUCCAGUGGCAGGAUGUGAGUCACCGGCAAGGGGGGACUCCAAUAAGGCGUCUGAUAAGAUAAGUCUUAUAAAAAUAUAGAUUUAUGAUAAUUGAGACUGAGCUAACAGAUGAGAAUCCUAGUCGGUGGCCAAGCAGCAUUUGUAACUAAUACAAGUCUCUCUGUGUAUUAAUUGGGGCCCUAACUCGGGCGGGCGGCUGGCGUAAAGUGCACACGUGGCGGUGGGGCUCGGCAGCUUUUGGCGGAAAGAUUUAUCAUAACACCUUUUCUCCAUUUGCAUUCCCCCCAUCUGUGAAGCAGUAAACAUGCUGGCUAUCACACUACUCAUGGCAAUGUUUCCUAGACCUUUCUUUGACCUUUUGGAAGCUGGCCAGUGUGGAAUUAUAUAAUGACGCUAUUUGUAUCUCCCACUUGGAAAGGCAACAUGGUUAAUGGCUGUGAGUGGCAUCUUGAAGUGUCAGCAUGAACAGCACCACCUUCAUUUGCAUGCUUCCUAUGUUUCUCAAAACUCUGAGAUUAUCAUUAUUUGAUAAUCAUUAUCAUUAUUUGAUCUGCUCAAGUUCGAACAGGAAAUUCAUGCCCAUUUCAAGAAACGACACUGAGGAAUAGGAAACUUUGGCGUUAGCUUCUGAACCAUAGCACACAAGUAGGAAACCAGGAUUGAUAUUGGACUAAUUCCUAGACCAACCUGAAAGCUGUUUAGAAUGAUGAGGAGAAGGGAAAACAUAGACAACCAUGUUUCUGUCCCUUGUUUAAAAGUUGAGUUGUUUUCCUUGGUAUACUAAAGGGAGUUAGACUGAAAGGGACAGGUUAGUAAGACUCAGCACAUGGAUUCUGAUAUUUUCUUAGACCCCAGAAAAAGUCAAUGUCAGUGGUGAGCUCUAAGCCAAAGAUAGAAGUUCUCUAUUAACUAUACCCAUGUGAUUUAAAUUAAUAUACAUAUUUGCUAAAAGGGAGAAAAGGUCUGAAUGUACCCUCUAAAUGUGUAUGUCGAUAACAAAAGCAUAGACAGAAUUAUUAGACAUAAUCCAGAUGUCAAGUGAGAGCUGGCACCAAUACAAUUACCCAAGGAUUCUCAUGGAUUAGGUGCCUGCAACUGAGAGAGAAAUACUACUGAGGUGUGAACUCCCAUCCCGGGAAAGGGUAGGGUAGAAGUGGGCUAUGGUUUGAAUGUGGCGUAUCCCCCAUAGGCUCACUCAUUAGAACACUUUUUCCCAGCUGGUAAGGCUGCUUUGGGAAGUUGUAGAACCUUUAGGGGGUGGAGCCUUGCUGGAGGACACAGUCACUGGGGUUGGGCCUUGAGGUUUGAUAGGCAGCUCCACUUCAGUCUAUUCUGCUUCUUGACUGCAGACACAAAGUGAUCCAUCAGUCACCUGCUUUUUCAUGAUUUCCUUGUCACGAUGGAUGACACCCCUCCUUCAACUGAGACAAAAUAAACUCUUCCUUCUAGGAAUAACCUUGUACUAGACAGAAGUGCACUCAGUCUCGGGAAGGAGGGUGUAAAUAGACAUCUGUAUCGGAAGAAAGAGGAUUCAAAGACAAAAAGAAGACAUCCACGAGGAAAGAUGAGAGUCAGGCUUGAAACUGAAAAGCUUCAAGUUUCCAUGGCUUUUGGAAAUGCCACUCCUCCAUCAUAAUUAGAAAACACUGACAUUGAGAGCUCAUUUAACUGCUUCCAUCGGUCUGGGGAAAAAAAAAAAAGCGUAGCCCGAUUUCGCUCUCUAACCAUGCUCGGUAAUUAGAAACAGAAGGCAUAGUUCUGAAUGUUUGCUUAUGAGCCUCCAUUUCCCGGGCCAGGCUUCAUAACCCAGUGGCCACACAGGGCUUAUCAGUGGUCAGAGAACUUUUAUCUUCACCAGAAGAAUGUGAGGUUGCCAUGAGCAUUCCCAGGAAGAAAAUGGGGACCCUGGGUACCACCUAGAUUUUUAAGAUACAGGGAAGAGUACUCUUGUGUCUCCCUGUUUCCUCCCACGCUGUAAAGCUGCUCUGCAUUUGAAAGGUAAGUCAUCUCCAGGAUGGCAAGAUCCACAGCCAACCCAGGACAGUCAAAAGCAGGUCUCUGUGCCUCCCAGCUCCAGCAACAUCCAGAUUUGUCUCUGAGCACAAGAAAGCUCUUUCCUCAGGACUGAUUCUUGAUUUUUCUGUCCUCUUGCUAAAAAGCCCAUGCUUUGCAAAAUGUAGGAGCAGAACCCAACCUAAGAAGCCACAGGCAGCAGGUUUGGCUUCUGACAAAAUCCACAAAGGGAAGAGGGAAAGGGGAUCUGUAAUUAAGGACUUCCAUCUGACAGGACCUCGUUUGUCAAAUUAAAACAUGUGGCCACAACUUGCUUGCUAAAGGAUCUUGGAAAAAAAAUUUUUUUAAAGAUUUUAUUUAUUAUGUAUACAACAUUCUGCUUCCAUGUAUAUCUGCACACCAGAAGAGGACACCAGAUCUCAUAACGGAUGGUUAUGAGCCACCAUGUGGUUGCUGGGAAUUGAACUCAGGACCUCUGGAAGAGCAGUCAAUGCUCUUAACCUCUGAGUCAUCUCUCCAGCCUCCCCCCCAAAAAAAACCCAACUUUUUAAAAAACAUAACUUCUGUUUUUCUACCUGACCUUAAACCUUUUGGGGAGCUCAUUUGCAUUUUUCAAUUAUUCACACUUAAACAAAAGUUGUCCACAUGCUGUAGAAAGAUGACUAAGCAAUUUUGUAUCAAGUAAUCAAAGAGAGUCCUGCCAAGUUUAGAAUAAUUAAAUUUCAGCAGCUUGAUAUAAACAGUUCCAAGAACUACAUGUGGCCUACCAAAGUAUAGAUUACAAGUAGUCAGCCCUGUGGCCAGCUGGCAGUCCGCUCCACCCAUUAAAAUAGAAUUGGUCAGAAUUCGGAGUAUUAUUUUUCUUUUCUCCACUCCCCUCCUGCCAAUAUUUUUUCUGCAUCCACAUUGUUUCUUUGGGAAUGUUUUCAAAUAUACAAAUAAUAAUAAUAUUAAAACUGUUGUGGAAUUUCACCUCUUGUAAACAAACAGGCAUUUCUCUUGGGAAGUGUCAGGACUCACAGACCAUUCCAGUGUCAACCCUGUCCACAUAAGCAGCAAAAAUGAGAUGGCAGGAAUGAGCUCACCCUGUUCCCACUCAAGGUGAAGUAUGACCACUGAACAAGUGGCUGUGGACAUAAAGUCAUGUGCCUAUCAGUUGCCAAAAUAUCUUACUGACUGCCUUUACCAGGUAGGCUGGGGAGCCAGAAUUUCUUGAUAAUAAAGAUAAUGUCUCACAAGUCCAAUUCCA